UAUUGCGAACCGUGUUUCGGGAGCCUUAGAGAUGGAGACUAACGUCUUCCAAGGGAGAUCGCGGCUCCACUUUCACCCUGGUACUGAGACGUUGAGCGCAAAAUUGGUAACCAAUGCUGCGCUUCCAGCAAAUUUUCCCACCAGCACCCAAUCCUGGGAUCUUUAUUCUCUUUGUCUCACAUCCUACAGGAAUGCAGUCGCGGGGUAUAUCCCCCUGAGAAACCUUACUUUGCCGAAUAAUGAUUUUUUUGGAUUAGAGAACAACUCCCCUGGGUCCUGAGCUGGUAUUUCCCUUUUGCGGCUGCACAGUAGUUAAAAACAAAGCUAAAUGUUCUGGGACGUAUAGUUCUGGCGUUCCUUGGGUCCCGCUGGCGAGCGUGGGCUUUCUGCAGGGUGCAACCGGCCUCGUGUGCUUUUGCGGACGGUUCGCCGCGCUUGGAAAGGGAUUGGCCUGGAGUACAUCAUCUAAAGAUCCUAGGAUUGCUGCAGGUCAGCAGUCUCCACUGGAAAAAAAGAUAUUGCCUUUGAUUUGUUGGAGAAACUGUUACCAGAAAAACAGGUCCCGAUCCUGACCUCAAAAGAGUAUUCUUGGAUCUUGCACAGGAAGGAAUUAAAGCCUCAUUUGGCCACAGGCCCAGUGUGAACACCAGGGGGCGCCACAGACCAUGAAGGCGCCCACAGACCAUGAAGGCACCGUGCAGCUGGGAUUGUUUGUGGUCGGCUACUGGGUCCCUGACUUAACCAGGGGAGCCAAGACCUUGCAGCCAAGUGGCCUGGAUUCAACCUGCAGCUCUGGUCCUACCGACACUUCUCCCCCUGGUGCCUCAGUUUCUUAAUCUGUGAAAUGGUGAGGACAUUACAGCAUUUACCUCUGGGGCGGGUUUCUCAACAGCAGCACUAUUAACAAUUUGGGACAGAGAAUCUUGUGGAGUGUUCUGUCCUGUGCAUUGUGGGAGGUUUGCCAGCAGCGCCCCACUCACCCCCUUCCACCAAUCCCCAUGUGACAACCGAAAAUGUCCCAGGAUUUUUAGGUCUCCCUUGGGUCUGGAAGCUGCACUUAGGCAUUUUCCCACCUGACACUUGAGCUCAUCUCUGCUUUGGUCCACAUAAGGCCACUUUAAAAAAAUGUUGUUUCUUUAAAGACUCCAACCAUCUUUUAAACAAAUCCAUUUUCUUCCUCUAUUUCUGCAUUCAGUUAAUCCUUCCAAACCCUUUCUUUAGUAUAUCUUGAAAUGUAUCAAUUCCAGUUCUAGUAAUUAGCGUGUCUGACUUGCAUGAUAUCAGCUAUGACCCCUAGUAGAGCUCUGAUUCCUUUAGCACAGGGAAUGUGUUCUCGAUUCUGCUCUGGAUGAUGUAAAUCAAUUUAUUUUGCUUUACUUGUCUGGGAUGUUGCUCCUCAUCUGUAAGAUGUAAAUGUGUAUGUGGCUUGGAUUACUAAGUGGUUUUAUUUCUUCAUUCACCUGACAUUUGUUGUGUACCUGCUGCAAGUCAAAUACAUGGCAUGGUAUUGUUUCCUUGAUCACACCACAGCAAAUGAGAAAAUGAGACAUUAUAGCCAGGUGUGGCGGCACAGGCUUGUCGUCCUAGCUACUCAGAAGGCUGAGGCAGGAGAAUUGCUUCAGCCCAGGAGUUUGAGGUUACAGUGAGGUAUGAUACCACCAUUGCAUUUCAGCCUGGGCAACAGACCCUGUCUCUGAAAAAAGGGAAAAAGACCUUGUGAGCUGUCUCCAUGUACUCUAUGUCUCAGGAGACUCGUGUCCUGUAAUUUUUCUAAAUGGCAUCUCCAUGUGGUCUUUCAUGAAUGUUUGUCUGGUAUUUCUUCUCUAUCCUUUUACUUUCAACUUUUCUGUACCUUCUACUGAAAUUAUGGCUUUUGUAAACAGCCUAUGAUUAUUUAUUUACUUAUUUAUUUUUACCCCCCUGCACUAUUUGUCUUGUAAUUAGAGUGUCUGAGUCCAUUAUGUUUAAUGUAAUUAUUGACCUCACUGGGUUUAAGUCUGUACAUUGUCAUUUGCUGCCGUCUAAUAUCUCUUUCUUGCUCAACUAUUUUUCUUAUGUUACCUUCUUUAGAUGAAUAAAAAACUUUGCAUUAU